UACGGAGGGUGCAAGCGUUAUCCGGAUUCACUGGGUUUAAAGGGUGCGUAGGUGGGCUGAUAAGUCAGUGGUGAAAUCUCCGUGCUUAACAUGGAAACUGCCAUUGAUACUAUUGGUCUUGAAUUAUCUGGAGGUCAGCGGAAUAUGUCAUGUAGCGGUGAAAUGCUUAGAUAUGACAUAGAACACCGAUUGCGAAGGCAGCUGGCUACAGGUUGAUUGACACUGAGGCACGAAAGCGUGGGGAUCAAACAGG
rnacentral:rRNA from 1 species